AGCCCAGAGUUGAGUGGCGCCUGACCUUCCCACUAGUGUCAGUGCAGGUAGUGUAAACCUGGCGUUUGCUUUGGGUUUGUCAGCUUGAGAGUGACAGGAUUGAAUGGCGCGAGUGCCCAAGAGUCACCACAGACACACCCAUCUCCCUCAUCCCUAUUUCUCUUCCCACUAGGGAUUUGGGCGCAUCAAAUGGCGCCUUCCCUCUGCACCACGUGGCAAAAAGCCAAACCUCAAAAUAGCAGAGUGGUGCAGUCUCAGAUAACUGUUCCCUAAGCCCCUGCUUACCGAGGCCGAGGCUGCCGCUCUCUCGCUACCCUCUCCCUGUUCUUUACUCUCCUCCCGCUCCCCAGCGCUACAACCGGCCACCGGAGCCACCUGUGGUCAGUAUUUUCCUCGUUAUGUGUUGCACGUCGUCGAGAACCUAAAGGUCUGAGCCCUUUACCAAACCUUCUUUGUUCUCCUGUCUGGAUGUGAGCACCUGCAACGUCUCCCACGUCCACACUUUCUUCAGGCUAGUCUUUGUUUUGGCUGAACAUUUGUUUCCCAUGCUGAAACAGAUGCUGGCUGGGUUCUAAGCAGAAGCCAGAACCAUGAGAUAUGGACCGCCAUGUGUGGCCAAGUGUCCAGGAGAGCAAUUUCCAGUCAGUUAUGGCAGCCAGUUUUGUGGCUGCACUUGCCUGUCUUGGGAUUAGGUGUAAGCCAGACCCCAAAACAGCAAGGCAGGUUCACAUGCUGAAGCACUGCGAAUGGAAAAUUAGAAUAAAAUAAAACACUAAAAUAAUAGGAAUUAGUGAGUGUGGAAAACGUGUGUGUAUAUAGAAAAGCAGGAAAGUUUCAGUUCACCAGUAGUAUUCUAAAAUUGCAGAUAUCUAAUAACAUAAAUAAUAACAUAGAUCAAAGCACAGGCCAGGCGCGGUGGCUCAUGCCUGUAAUCCCAGCAUUUUGGGAGUCUGAGGCUAGUGGAUCACCUAAGGUUGGGUGUUCGAGACCAGCCUGGCCAACGUGGUGAAAUCCUUGUCUUUACUAAAAAUACAAGAAUUAGCCAGGCAUGGUGGCAGGCACCUGUAAUCUCAGCUACUUGGGAGACUGAGGCAGGAGAAUCGCUUGAAUUUGGGAGGCAGAGGUUGUGAGCCAAGAUCACACCCAAGCCGAUCACUUGAGGUUGGGAGUUCGAGACCAGCCUGACCAACAUAGAGAAAUCCCAUCUCUACUAAAAAUACAAAAUUAGCCAGUCGUGGUGGUGCAUGCUUGUAAUCCCAGUUACUUGGGAGGCUGAGACAAGAAAAUCACUUGAAUCCAGGAGGCGAGUUUGCAGUGAGCCCAUGGCACUCCAGCCUGAGCAACAAGAGCGAAACUCAGUCUCAAAAAAAAAAAAAAAAAAAGCAUGUCUUGUAAGUCGAGUACAAAGAUGGCAGCUCCCAGAAGCUUGGCUCUAUGGAACUACUGCAGUCGUAGGUGGUCAUGGGCGAUGCGGGGCUGUCAGCUCCUCGGGCUUCGUGGCUCUUGGCUCGUGGCUCUUGGCCCGGGGCCCCACUAAGUGCGCGGCUCUUGUCCCAAGAGAAGCCGGCAACAGAAACGCACUUGGGGUUUCAGACUGUGUGGGAAGAGGAGAAGGGGGGCAAAGUCCAUCAGGAGUUUGAAAGUGUGGCUAAGAAGUAUGAUGUGAUGAAUGAUAUGAUGAGUCUUGUUAUCCAUCGUCUUUGGUAGGAUUUACUGCUCUGGAAUAUGCAUCUGCUUUCUGGGACCCAGCUGCUUGAUGUUGCUGGAGGCACAAGUGACAUUGCAUUCCGGUUCCUAAAUUAUGUUCAGUCCCAGCAUCAGAGAAAACAGAAGAGGCAGUUAAGGGCCCAACAAAGUUUAUCCUGGGAAGAAAUUGCCAAAGAGUACAAGAAUGAAGAAGAUUCCUUGGGCAGGUCUCAUGUCAUGGUGUGUGACAUCAACAAAGAGAUGCUAAAUGUUGGAAAGCAGAAAGCCUUGGCUCAAGGAUACAGAGCUGGACUUGCAUGGGUAUUAGGAGAUGCCAAAGAACUGCCCUUUGAUGAUGACAAAUUUGAUAUUUACACCAUUGCCUUUGGGAUUCGGAAUGUCACACACAUUGAUCAGGCACUCCAGGAAGCCCAUUGGGUGCUGAAACCAGGAGGAUGGUUUCUGUGUCUGGAAUUUAGCCAAGUAAACAAUCCCCUCAUAUCCAGGCUUUAUGAUCUAUAUAGCUUCCAGGUCAUCCCUGUCCUGGGAGAGGUCAUUGCUGGAGACUGGAAGUCCUAUCAAUACCUUGUAGAGAGUAUCUGAAGGUUCCCAUCUCAGGAAGAGUUCAAGGAGAUGAUAGAAGAUGCAGGCUUUCACAAGGUCACUUAUGAAAGUCUAACAUCAGGCAUUGUGGCCAUUGAUUCUGCCUUCAAACUUUAAUUCCUUCCCUAUCAUGGAGCAUGAACCAAUCACACCCUGUUGAAAGCCUGGAACUGAAGGAUAUUCUGGCAAAUGAGACAACAGCAGAGCAUCUCCUCUUAAGGAUACAUACCUUGGACUCAUGUUUGAAUAGAAUACUCUCCAAGUAGAAGAACAAAUUCCUGUCACUUUUUUACAGCUUUCUUUGGAGUUGCUUCAGUCCAUCUCCCAGAGGCAUUUGGUCUGUAUUUUUGUUCAACCACUAAUUUCUCUUGGCUGUAGAGUGUGUGGUUAAGGUACAACCAGCACUAAGACUCAGUUUUGAAGUGUAUUUAUAGCUUCUCUGCUGGUGCUGCCCUCCAGAGUGGGUGAUAGAUCAUUUGAACCCAAUGAUGACUUUAACCAGAAAACUUAAUUGUACCUGAAUCAACCUUUCAGCCUACCAGGACUGAGUCUAGGUCCAAGUCAGAGGACUAAUGAUCAUGACAAUUGUGUGCUGAACCAGUAAACGAGUUUGCCUUUUG